AACUAGCAUAUCAAUAAGCGGAGGAAAAGAAACCAACAGGGAUUGCCCUAGUAACGGCGAGUGAAGCGGCAACAGCUCAAAUUUGAAAUCUGGCUCUUUCAGGGUCCGAGUUGUAAUUUGCAGAGGGCGCUUUGGCGUUGGGAGCGGUCCAAGUUCUUUGGAACAGGACGUCACAGAGGGUGAGAAUCCCGUACGUGGUCGCUAUCCUUCGCCGUGUAAAGCCCCUUCGACGAGUCGAGUUGUUUGGGAAUGCAGCUCUAAAUGGGAGGUAAAUUUCUUCUAAAGCUAAAUACUGGCCAGAGACCGAUAGCGCACAAGUAGAGUGAUCGAAAGAUGAAAAGCACUUUGGAAAGAGAGUCAAAUAGCACGUGAAAUUGUUGAAAGGGAAGCGCUUGCAGCCAGACUUGCCUGUAGUUGCUUAUCUGGACUUUUGUCCAGUGCACUCUUCUGCGGGCAGGCCAGCAUCAGUUUGGGCGGUUGGAUAAAGGUCUCUAUCACGUACCUCCUUUCGGGGAGGCCUUAUAGGGGAGACGACAUGCAACCAGCCUGGACUGAGGUCCGCGCAUCUGCUAGGAUGCUGGCGUAAUGGCUGUAAGCGGCCCGUCUUGAAACACGGACCAAGGAGUCUAACAUCUAUGCGAGUGUUUGGGUGUCAAGCCCAGACGCGUAAUGAAAGUGAACGGAGGUGGGAACCUUUUAGGUGCACCAUCGACCGAUCCUGAUGUCUUCGGAAGGAUUUGAGUAAGAGCAUAGCUGUUGGGACCCGAAAGAUGGUGAACUAUGCUUGAAUAGGGUGAAGCCAGAGGAAACUCUGGUGGAGGCUCGCAGCGGUUCUGACGUGCAAAUCGAUCGUCAAAUUUGGGCAUAGGGGCGAAAGACUAAUCGAACUAUCUAGUAGCUGGUUCCUGCCGA
rnacentral:rRNA from 1 species